GACGAACGCUGGCGGCGUGCUUAACACAUGCAAGUCGAACGGAAAGGCCUGCUUUCCCUUGUGGAUUGCGGGUACUCGAGUGGCGAACGGGUGAGUAACACGUGAGUGAUCUGCCCCCAACUUGGGUAUAAGCCUGGAAAACUGGGUCUAAUUCCCGAUAGGACUGCAGGGUGGUGCCUGUGGUGGAAAACGAUUUUCUAGUGGUUGGGGAUGAGCUCGCGGCCUAUCAGCUUGUUGGUGGGGUAAUGGCCUACCAAGGCGGCGACGGGUAGCCGGCCUGAGAGGGUGGACGGCCACAUUGGGACUGAGAUACGGCCCAGACUCCUACGGGAGGCAGCAGUGGGGAAUAUUGCACAAUGGGCGGAAGCCUGAUGCAGCGACGCCGCGUGGGGGAUGACGGCCUUCGGGUUGUAAACUCCUUUCGACCGCGAGGAAGCCACCUGGUUGGAAGGGUGGUGACGGUAGUGGUAGAAGAAGCACCGGCUAACUACGUG
rnacentral:rRNA from 1 species